GUCCUAGAAUGAUGCCUGCCAAAUGUCAGUCUUUUGGAUAUAGAGGGGUCAGGGAGCUGCUUGAGGAGACAGUCUGUACUUUAUAGGAGCUCAAUUGCUGAGCUGUGAGCUCUAUUGUUCAUUCAGGGCUGUUAGGCUGCUAUGUUUAAUUCUGCUGCAACAGAACUCAUUAAAAAAACCCUUUUUUUUUCCCAGCUGCUCUUUCUUAAAGGGUUGGGCUUUAAUUUUGAGUGUCUGCUGUGCUGUCCUGCCCAGCUAGGAGGCAGUCUAGUCACUAUUUGCCUGCCAAGGCUCUGCCCUGCUAGUGUGAGGUUCGCCCUGUUGCUGCAGGCUCUGCCCUUCUGCUGCGGUCUCUGCCCUGCUGCCACGUGCUACGCCCUGCGGCGGAGUCUCUCUAUUGUACCGGGUUGCCUUGGCAACGGCAGGCUGCAUCAGCAAUGGGCGUGUACCUCAGUAGGGGCUGAUUGCCUCGGUAAUGGCAUAUGCCCCUCCCCCACGGAGUUGUGCUUUAAGGGAACCUCCUCACCAGGAGCAUUUGGAAUUGCUGUUUUGUUUGUCGUACCGUGCUACCCCAAACGCUGUGUCCCUGGGAUUUUCUGGGCUGGCUCACUGUCCAAGUCCCGUUCAGUCUCAAGUUCAGCCCUCUCAGGUCUCAGUUUGCCGGUUCAACAGGGCACCUGUAACAGUGGGCUUUUGUAUGGAGCGCUGUGGAGCGCCUCUGCGCUCCGGUGUGGGCCGCAGUUUCACUGGCUGCCGGCUACACCAGCCAAAACCUCUGCCUGGCGUCCUGCGUCUCUUUUAUACCUGGGAAUUUCCCCGUUCUGUGGGCAACUAAGAUCCGUCUGGAAAUGCGUCCCCGACUCACCCUCUCCGCGCAUCCAGCGAGAGCUUCAAUCCUGGGUUGUUCUCACAGUGCCAUCUUGAGUCCUCUCCUUUAUUUAUUUUUUAUUUUUAUUUAUUUAUUUAUUUUUGUCUGCAAGGUAAGAGUUUAUUUCACAAG
rnacentral:lncRNA from 13 species